rnacentral:lncRNA from 1 species
AUGGAGAAGAAGUUUAAAUCAUAGAAAGAAAUCCUGCUGAUAGGAUUUACAGGGCUACUAAAAUCCUGAAGGCUUUUUUUAUUUUGCUUGGUUGCUGACCUUCAAGGACCUCCACGAUCUGAUCCUUGAUGUUUCCUGACAUCCACAACCUAGGGAAGCUGCUCUAAUAAUUGGUAUCAGAGCAUGAAUUUUGUGGAGAAAGAAGAAGACUCC